UGAUCCCUGGCUCAGAGCGAACGCUGGCGGCAGGCUUAACACAUGCAAGUCGAACGGGCAUCUUCGGAUGCUAGUGGCAGACGGGUGAGUAACACGUGGGAACGUACCUUUCGGUUCGGAAUAAUACAGGGAAACUUGUACUAAUACCGGAUACGCCCUUCGGGGGAAAGAUUUAUCGCCGAUAGAUCGGCCCGCGUCUGAUUAGCUAGUUGGUGAGGUAAUGGCUCACCAAGGCGACGAUCAGUAGCUGGUCUGAGAGGAUGAUCAGCCACACUGGGACUGAGACACGGCCCAGACUCCUACGGGAGGCAGCAGUGGGGAAUAUUGGACAAUGGGCGAAAGCCUGAUCCAGCCAUGCCGCGUGUGUGAUGAAGGCCUUAGGGUUGUAAAGCACUUUUGUUCCGGGAAGAUAAUGACUGUACCGGAAGAAUAAGCCCCGG
rnacentral:rRNA from 1 species